rnacentral:rRNA from 1 species
AUGAACGCUGGCGGCGUGCCUAAUACAUGCAAGUCGAGCGAACGGACGAGAAGCUUGCUUCUCUGAUGUUAGCGGCGGACGGGUGAGUAACACGUGGAUAACCUACCUAUAAGACUGGGAUAACUUCGGGAAACCGUAGCUAAUACCGGAUAAUAUUUUGAACCGCAUGGUUCAAAAGUGAAAGACGGUCUUGCUGUCACUUAUAGAUGGAUCCGCGCUGCAUUAGUUAGUUGGUAAGGUAACGGCUUACCAAGGCAACGAUGCAUAGCCGACCUGAGAGGGUGAUCGGCCACACUGGAACUGAGACACGGUCCAGACUCCUACGGGAGGCAGCAGUAGGGAAUCUUCCGCAAUGGGCGAAAGCCUGACGGAGCAACGCCGCGUGAGUGAUGAAGGUCUUCGGAUCGUAAAACUCUGUUAUUAGGGAAGAACAUAUGUGUAAGUAACUGUGCACAUCUUGACGGUACCUAAUCAGAAAGCCACGGCUAACUACGUG